rnacentral:rRNA from 1 species
GAUGAACGCUGGCGGUGUGCCUAAUACAUGCAAGUCGAGCGGUAAGGUCUCUUCGGAGAUACACGAGCGGCGGACGGGUGAGUAACGCGUAAGAAUGUACCCCAAAGUGAGGGAUAAGCACCAGAAAUGGUGUCAAAUACCGCAUGUGCUCUUCGGAGUAAAGCUUCGCCGCUUUGGGAACAGCUUGCGUAUGAUUAGCUAGUUGGUAAGGUAAUGGCUUACCAAGGCGACGAUCAUUAGCGGGUCUGAGAGGAUGAUCCGCCACACUGGGACUGAGACACGGCCCAGACUCCUACGGGAGGCAGCAGUAGGGAAUUUUCCACAAUGGGGGCAACCCUGAUGGAGCAACACCGCGUGCAGGAUGAAGGCCUUCGGGUUGUAAACUGCUUUUGUCUGUGACGAAUAUGACGGUAGCAGGCGAAUAAGGAUCGGCUAACUACGUGCCAGCAGCCGCUGUAA